rnacentral:lncRNA from 1 species
GAUGAACAAGUAUUACAACGGUCUAUCAUUUCAACAAGAUCCUUUGGAGAACAUAUUUGCAUCUUCUGAUCUGUAAAACCCAUAAUCUUUAGUAAGAACUCUUCCGGAAAGAGAACUUCAUUGUCUUCUUCCUUGUGAAUCAUUUUAUAUGUUCUUCUCAUGUCUCUGCAGAAUCUUAGAAACUGUGGAUCCUCCAGUGUUUCUCUCAAGUCCAGAGACACAUCCUUGGCAGUCACGCCGCCUGCAGAGAUCAUCUUCAUCAUCAUUGUCUUGAUAGUCGAGAG